ensembl:lncRNA
GUGAGUCAAUAGGAAAAUGAGUUCAGUGUGGAACUGGCCCAGGAUAGAAAAGCCACAAUGACUCCAUUAUUGUCUACUAAAGAACAGUAAGAAGAUAUUGGAUCCCAUCUACCUGCUGAAAUCUCCCAAGGUGAAAAAUGAGACUAUUCUUUUCUGAAACAUCUGGAUACUUUAAUUUAAAAGACUAAAGAGGAAUAAGAAACAGAGCCUGUCCUCAAGAGGUGGAAAUGAAGCAACCAGAGAAAUGAGCACAGCAAGAGAUUUAAAAUAAAAUUCGACUGUAUUGGAGGCCCCUGAAGUGUCAUGGCCCUGCUCACUGUGCCUAGUGGAUCAGUCCACAGAAAAGUGUGGAAGCUGAGGCAAGAGGAUUGCUGCAAGUGUGAGGCCAGCCUGGCCCUCACAGUGAGGAGUUCAAGACCAGCCUGGGCCUCACAGUGAGGAGUUCAAGACCAGCCUGGGCCUCACAGUGAGUCCAAGACCAGCCUGAACUUUGUAGCGAGACCCUGUCUCAGAAAACAAACAAAAAACGCAGCACAUGCCUUCCAUAUUCCUCCACAGACCUCUGAAAACAAAAUAAGCUAUCAGUGUCUGUUAAGACGAAGAUUUUUUUCAUGGUUAAAUUCUGCUUUCUGCGGCACCAAGUGCACCCUGCUGGGCUCAAGUAAGUUCGGUGAGGUUUUAACCGUGAGGAGCCAUUUGCUUCUGCUGACAAGUUGUGUCCUGCGCUUCAGCCACCUGCUCCGCUCCUGCAACCUGCUCUGCUCCUGCACCUCGGCCCUGCAUCAUUGCGCGCACGAAGCUGGAAAGACACCGGCCCUAGCACGCGGCUCCUGAUGGGCUCCUCUGUCCUGCGGGCCCGGUGCCCCAGGUGUGGAAGGCUCACCCUCACUGUAACCUCGACGCCAUCGGAGCACUGUGUCCGCUAAUGACAGCCGACUCCAGAGCUCCGGCGCUCAGGUAAGCGAGAGCGACCCCUGCCUUGGAGCCGGCCAGCAGGACGCCCCUGUCGAC